rnacentral:rRNA from 1 species
UACGAAGGGGGGCUAGCGUUGCUCGGAAUGACUGGGCGUAAAGGGCGCGUAGGCGGCUCAUACAGUCAGGCGUGAAAUUCCUGGGCUCAACCUGGGGACUGCGCUUGAGACGUGUGGGCUUGAGUGGGGAAGAGGGUCGUGGAAUUCCCAGUGUAGAGGUGAAAUUCGUAGAUAUUGGGAAGAACACCGGUGGCGAAGGCGGCGACCUGGUCCUUGACUGACGCUGAGGCGCGAAAGCGUGGGGAGCAAACAGG